UCUUCCCUUAGAUACCCUAGGUCAUCACUCUGAAGUUUGGCCCUAGGGCAUGAACACAAUGCAGCUAAGUCCUUUGCUAUGGCAACAAGGGUGACCUUUGCUCCAGUUCCGAGUAAGUUCCUCAUUUCCACUUGAGAUUUCAUCAGUUUGGACUUUGCUGUCUAUAUUUCUAUCAGCAUUUUGGUCACAACCACGCAACUAAUCUCUAAGAAGUUCCAGAUUUUUCCUUGCUUAUUUUUCUUCUUUUGUGCCCUCCAAACUCUUCUAACCUCUGCCCAUUAUCCAGUUCUGAAGCUGCUUCCACAUUUUCAAGUAUCUUUAUAGCAGUGCCCCACUCCUUCCCUACUCCAUGGUAAGCACUAUGCUGGACCCUAGCUAUGAAAGAUAAAGAGGCUAUAACAGCUGCCUAAAGUAGCUUAGGGCUAGGGACAAUACAUGCGCAGAUGACCAUUAUGCAGUGUGAUUCACGCCAUUUCAUAGGUGAGGAGAAAGUGAUGGCAGACCAUGGAGGCCCUGAGAGUAGUGAUGAAGCUUAAGGGGUCUAGGAGUUGACCACAUAGACAAAAGAGAGAAGAGAAUUUUAUCCUUUUUUUCUUCAUCUUUCUCCUUUUCUCUACUUCCUGAACAAUUCUUCACAAAGAUUUUAGCAGGGACUAAGCAGAGUGGUGUUUUCCAGGUACAGUGAGGGGAGCCUCCAUGGUCUCUCCAACAAGGGGAGGAAGGUGUCUACACAGGGGAGUCAGGGCCCAGCAUGGAGUGUUGGAGCCUAAGUGAGGCAAGAAAGUCUGCCCCCGAGGAAAGUGUCCAAUGGGCCAGGGCAAUUACAAGGUGAGCCUGCACAAUCUUGUUCUGGAAAGCAAUGAAGCGCUCAAAGAAUGACGAGAACAUGCCAAAAA
rnacentral:lncRNA from 1 species